rnacentral:rRNA from 1 species
GGGCGAAAGCCUGAUGCAGCAACGCCGCGUGAGCGAUGAAGGUCUUCGGAUCGUAAAGCUCUGUCCUCAAGGAAGAAUAUUGACGGUACUUGAGGAGGAAGCCCCGGCUAACUACGUGCCAGCAGCCGCGGUAAUACGUAGGGGGCUAGCGUUAUCCGGAAUUACUGGGCGUAAAGGGUGCGUAGGCGGUCUUGCAAGUCAGAGGUGAAAGGCUACGGCUCAACCGUAGUAAGCCUUUGAAACUGUAGGACUUGAGUGCAGGAGAGGAAAGUGGAAUUCCCAGUGUAGCGGUGAAAUGCGUAGAUAUUGGGAGGAACACCAGUUGCGAAGGCGGCUUUCUGGACUGUAACUGACGCUGAGGCACGAAAGCGUGGGGAGCGAACAGGAUUAGAUACCCUGGUAGUCCACGCCGUAAACGAUGAGUACUAGGUGUCGGGGGUUACCCCCCUCGGUGCCGUAGCUAACGCAUUAAGUACUCCGCCUGGGAAGU